rnacentral:rRNA from 1 species
UACGUAGGGGGCAAGCGUUGUCCGGAAUUACUGGGCGUAAAGGGCUCGUAGGCGGCCAACUCAGUCGGACGUGAAAUCCCUCGGCUUAACCGGGGAAUGGCGUCCGAUACUGGAUGGCUUGAGUUUGGGAGAGGGAUGCGGAAUUCCAGGUGUAGCGGUGAAAUGCGUAGAUAUCUGGAGGAACACCGGUGGCGAAGGCGGCAUCCUGGACCAACACUGACGCUGAGGAGCGAAAGCCAGGGGAGCAAACGGG